rnacentral:rRNA from 1 species
UAGGGAAUCUUCCGCAAUGGACGAAAGUCUGACGGAGCAACGCCGCGUGAGUGAAGAAGGAUUUCGGUUCGUAAAACUCUGUUGUUAGGGAAGAAAAAAUGUAUAGUAACUAUAUACAAAAGAGACGGUACCUAACCAGAAAGCCACGGCUAACUACGUGCCAGCAGACGCGGUAAUACGUAGGUGGCAAGCGUUGUCCGGAAUUAUUGGGCGUAAAGCGCGCGCAGGUGGUUUAGAAAGUCUGAUGUGAAAGCCCACGGCUCAACCGUGGAGGGUCAUUGGAAACUAAUAAACUUGAGUGCAGGAGAGAAAAGUGGAAUUCCUAGUGUAGCGGUGAAAUGCGUAGAGAUUAGGAGGAACACCGGUGGCGAAAGCGGCUUUUUGGCCUGCAACUGACACUGAGGCGCGAAAGCGUGGGGAGCAAACAGG